CGGAGGAUCCAAGCGUUAUCCGGAAUCAUUGGGUUUAAGGGUCCGUAGGCGGUUUUAUAAGUCAGUGGUGAAAUCUGUCGCUCAACGAUCAAACGGCCAUUGAUACUGUAAGACUUGAAUUACUUGGAAGUAACUAGAAUAUGUAGUGUAGCGGUGAAAUGCUUAGAGAUUACAUGGAAUACCAAUUGCGAAGGCAGGUUACUACAAGUAUAUUGACGCUGAUGGACGAAAGCGUGGGGAGCGAACAGGAUUAGAUACCCUGGUAGUCCACGCCGUAAACGAUGGAUACUAGCUGUUUGGAGCAAUCUGAGUGGCUAAGCGAAAGUGAUAAGUAUCCCACCUGGGGAGUACGCUCGCAAGAGUG
rnacentral:rRNA from 1 species